GUGUUGGGCUCUUGGAAUAAUGAAAGAUGGCUAUAUGGUAAACUCCGCGAAGCCGAGGAUAGGUGGAAAUAAAGUAAAUGUGGGUUUAAUUUAAAAAUGUUAGUCUUACAUAGACCAUUUUCAUAAAUAAAAAAUUUCCGGCUCAGACUAUUUUCUAAAACCACUGCUCUCUAUCGAUAAAAGAGAUGUUGGUGAAAGGAGCUGCUUCCACUUUGGUGAUUGGCUAAUGAUACAUAGCACCGAUGCUCUCCGUAAUACACAGUCCUAAAAAAUCAACUCAAUUAAGUCAGUAAUACACACUCCGAUUAAUCUGUUCAUUGUGAUCAAUGUUUACUAACCUUUGUGUUUUGUGAUCUCCCAUGUCAUUCCACCCAUCAAGAUAA